UUGAGCUAAGGACUGGCUGUAGCCUAGACAGUCUUCCAGCCUGGACGGAGGCCUCCUGAGCAACUCAGAGUGAAUGUGUUUUCAGAGUUAAGUACCAGGUGGGUGUGAUUUGUGUGUGUGUGUGCUUGUGUGUGUGCGCCAUGUUUUGAGUUUGGAUCAGGGGUGUGGGAUGGGGGGCUCAUUGUUGGGCUGUGCCUGCCUGGAAGAUCUCCUUGGCUGUGACACACAUAUUGAUGUCUUUUGAAAUGUCUAGCUUGUUCCGGAGGCUUUGUCAAGGCUAUCUUCCAGACCCUUCAACCCCUUCUCUUCCACCCUUUGGACCUUCAGGAUGGAUAGCGAAGGGCUUGUGCAGUUAGAUGUCAUCACCACAGACUCUGCCUGGGAAAUGGGAGGAGGUGAUUUCAUCCCUGUGUGCAGGUCACAGAGUGCCCCCACACAAGUUAAAUUGCUGCAACUUUGACCGGCAGUGCAGUCACACAGGAUCCAUCCCCCUUGUAUCUGAGGGCGUGGAACCUGCUGUGUCCGGCUCAAGGCAGUUUCUCGGGGCCACCCAUUGCCAGAUCCACUGUCUAGGGAUCAAAAAGGACUUCAAGAGGUGCAGAGACUUCCAAGAUCACACAGAGGUGGGACCUGAGUGUACUGAGUCCAAACACAGGUAUCUGCUUCUCUGUCUGUCUUUCCUUCUUGCUGUCUUUGGAGGCAGGCAUUGUGGGUACAGACAGCUUCCAUGGCCAGGGUAUGCUGCCCUUGAGCACAGCCCUGCUGUUCCUAGGCUGGACAGACACAUGGACAAGCAUCAUCAUCCUGAAAACCUCAUGGUUUCCUCGAUUGGUUGCCCUGAGGGUCUGCCCAAGGCCAGGGUUUCCCCACUAGCCAACAUCUCUAAAUCCCAGGGACACUAUUCCAUUUUGGAGUUUCUCCCCAAUGCCCCCAAUGGCUCUCCAUUGCCAAGUGCCCCAGGGACUCCUAGGCUGUGAGAUACCAUUUAUUAUUCCUAGGGCACGUUCAGAAUCUCUGGGGUUGAGACUUCUCCAAAAACUUCUGCAGGAUCCUGGUGGGAAGCUCUCUCCUCUCUCUGCGUCAGCUUCCUGGGGGACCCACCGUUCCUUCCAGCCCAGAGCGGCAUCACUGUCUACACAUCACAAGCCUGGGUUGGUGUCGAGUGUCUCUGACUUUGGAGUCUCGAGCCCCGGACUUAGUUUUAUGGGCUUUGGCUGUCGAGGGCAGCCGACGACUCCAUCCAUCAACCGGGGACUGCUCUAACACUAAUGGUGAAUUUAUAGAAGUGGUUAAACAAAGUGUUGACAAUGCGGACGGUGUGUUUCUGAUUAACACACGAUUCCGAGGGAAGCUGCCAUCCGAGGGGGGAGUCAGUAAAACACAGCAGUGAAUUCCCAGGCCCCGGAGACUCCGACUAGACUGGAUCACCAGAGGUUGCGCAAGGAGAUCAUGAGUCUGAGGCUGCUGUGGGGACUCUUGUACAAACCCAGAGCCACCCCUCCCUUCCCCCCCUUUUUUUUUCUUGAGAGAUUACAUCUGAGUUCUCUCUUCCAGCCUUAAGCGUUUCCAUUAGAAAAUUCUGUCAGCUCCCAUGGUGUUCUCUCCAAACCCUGUCCUCAGACCAACCCCUCUCCC
rnacentral:lncRNA from 1 species